rnacentral:tRNA from 1 species
CGGGGCGUAGCGCAGCUUGGUUAGCGCGCCUGCUUUGGGAGCAGGAGGUCGCCGGUUCGAAUCCGGCCGCCCCGACCG